UACGUAGGGGGCAAGCGUUGUCCGGAUUUAUUGGGCGUAAAGAGCGUGUAGGCGCCAGACAGGUCCGUUGUGAAAACUCGAGGCUCAACCUCGAGACGCCGAUGGAAACCGUCUGGCUAGAGUCCGGAAGAGGAGAGUGGAAUUCCUGGUGUAGCGGUGAAAUGCGCAGAUAUCAGGAAGAACACCAACGGCGAAGGCAGCUCGCUGGGACGGUACUGACGCUGAGACGCGAAAGCGUGGGGAGCGAACAGG
rnacentral:rRNA from 1 species